GAACAAAUAAGAAAACUUAGGUUACGUGAAUAAUAUUAUAAUGCCAGGCAUUUAAGAAGACAUUCACUAAAUGUUAAUUCAUUUUUUUCCUUGGGAAUAUCUCGUGUAGAAUUUAUAAUUGGAUAGGAAGUAGGGAAGAUGGAUCCUUUCUAAAUAGUUUCAAGUUAAUAUUCAAACCUUUAUUAUUACUAUAGACUUUGGCAGAUUCUAAAAUGUUUUGCAUUGUGUAAAUUUGGCCUACCUACCAAAUUUUUAUUCCAUGUUACAGCAAGCUACUAUUUAUUGUGGGUUUUUUUUAGCAUUUUAUGAGAGAGUGAAAAAUUAUGUGAUGAAAACCUUAAGUAACACUGAAAACUUAGUACAUAUGAGAUUUCUAAUUUACUUUAUGCUUUAUUUCUACUUAUUCAGCUGAGAUUAUGCUGUGAAUCUUAUCUGCUCGGAAAAAUUAUUUCUUGGAUUAUAAAUGCUCUGACUGCUACUUAGAUGUGGUGUCACAGAAAUGGAUUGUUUUGGAACAAGGUGGAUUGAAAAAAAUGAGUAUAAAAAGAAAAGAGUUAUUCAUUAGGCUUCAUGUAAAUUAAGAAAACUGUCAUGUGAUUUAAAAGUAAAAUUAUAAAUUAGAAAUACACAGUAGAUCACAGGGUGUAAUUCAUUUGAAAUUUCUCAAGUUUCAAAAAGAAUA
rnacentral:lncRNA from 1 species